CGGGGUGUGGCUCAGUUGGCUAGAGCGCCGCGUUUGGGACGCGGAGGUCCCCAGUUCGAGUCUGGGCACCCCGACCA
rnacentral:tRNA from 1 species